rnacentral:lncRNA from 1 species
AGUGCCGAUAGUAGCGGUCAACCCUAUUUACCGUUAUUAUUCUCUAUGGGGAGCCCUAUCGUCGGAAGGUAAAUGUCUCAAAAUUUUUAUAUAGGCGGUUGCCUCUCAUCUACGUGAAAGUUUUUCGUGUGGAAUGUUUCACCAAACUACGUAAUAUAGAGGGAGAUAUGAGUGUUUUCGUGAAUUUAUAGACUUUAGCCGACGAGAUAUUAAAAAAGUCGUUGGCUAAGGACAAAAAUUUUUGGGCGGUAAUUUUCAAAGGACUUUAGCCGAUGAAAAUAUAUGAUUUCGUCGGCUAAAGUCGAAAAAUUUUCAAAAUUUUCAACCAAAAUUUUCAAAAGAGUUUAGUCGACGAAAAUAAAUAAUUUCAUCGGCUAAAAUUCUUUAUAUAGGAGUUUUACCGAAAGUGGAUGGUAAGAAGUCUAUUUCGCCUGCAAGAUUUUCUUCUCGGCCUAGCUCCGUCGUCAAGCCACCGGAGACCGCCACACUUGUCCCAAAAGCUUCGCCGUCGUCUCUACUUCAUUGCUGGACAAGUGGUGCAUCGAGUGGCGCCACCAUGAGGGAUAAAUCGAGCUCCAAAACUCCGCCGGUUCGGAUUCGGUGUCGAUCGAAUUUCUCCUUCCUCAGGUCACCAUUUGGUUAGUUCUAUAUAUGGAUAAGUUGAGUUUGAUUAGUACUACAUUCCCCUAGAAUUUGGUAGCUCGAUUCGGUGUGUGUGAGGAGAAUCGAAGAUUUGAAGUUUUUAGGGUUUAAAAUUGGGGAUUUUUAUAUUUUGAUUCAAUUGACCUGUUUAGGCUUAGAAUUGGGCUUCGACUUCUUCUAGAAAGUUGUUCGAAAUGUUAAGAGGAAGAUUCUGUCAAAUUUUGGUGGUGAUUGGAGGUGGCCGGAAGUUUCUGCAGUUUUUUUUUUUCAAAAACCAGCAACUUUAGCUUACGAUAUUUAAAUACUAUAUUCGUCGGCUAUAGUAUUUUUUAAUUUUUUAUAAGGUUUAGCCGACGAAAUAUGGCAUGUUUCGUCGGCUAUAGUUAUUUUUUUAAUUUUUUUAUAAGGUUUAGCCGACGAAAUAUGACACGACCCACCCCGAAUUUCACCCUGAAACCCAAAGUAAGUCGUGCGGGGACCACCUCCAAGGAAAAUUUACUGAAAAGAUUAAGAAAAUCUCCCUUACAGAUGGACAACCCUAACUCGAAAAUUUCAUAUUACACUCUUAAUUUAACACUUCUGAACAUCACAUAAUAUACAAAAAUUCUAAAGUAUUCAGAGCUACUAAACACGAGCGGAAGCAAGAAAACACGAGUAGGUUGAACAGGUAACCUACUGGCGAAAACUGGCAGAAAUGCGGGUGACUAUGCCUCGUCUCCUACUAGAUCCAACCCGAACUCUGCAGACUGGGCAAUUUAAAACGAAGGGCCCAGGGGAAAACAUUUAAUAACGUUAGAGUGAGUGGACAAAAUAAAU